rnacentral:misc_RNA from 1 species
GAAAUGCGAUAAGUAGUGUGAAUUGCAGAAUUCAGUGAAUCAUCGAAUCUUUGAACGCACAUUGCGCCCCUUGGUAUUCCAUGGGGCAUGCCUGUUCGAGCGUCAUUUGUACCCUCAAGCUCUGCUUUGUGUUGGGUGUUUGUCCCCGUCUCCGCGCGUGGACUCUCCCCAAAGUGAUUGGCAGCUGGCGUACUGGUCCCGGAGCGCAGCACAUGUCGCGCAAACGAGUGCCUUGGUACGGCGGCGUCCAUAAGCCCCUCUCUCACGCUCUUGACCUCGGAUCAGGUAGGGAUACCCGCUGAACUUAAGC